UAGAGAAUCUUCGGCAAUGGACGGAAGUCUGACCGAGCAACGCCGCGUGAGUGAAGAAGGUUUUCGGAUCGUAAAGCUCUGUUGUUAGAGAAGAACGUUGGUAGGAGUGGAAAAUCUACCAAGUGACGGUAACUAACCAGAAAGGGACGGCUAACUACGUGCCAGCAGCCGCGGUAAUACGUAGGUCCCGAGCGUUGUCCGGAUUUAUUGGGCGUAAAGCGAGCGCAGGCGGUUCUUUAAGUCUGAAGUUAAAGGCAGUGGCUUAACCAUUGUACGCUUUGGAAACUGGAGGACUUGAGUGCAGAAGGGGAGAGUGGAAUUCCAUGUGUAGCGGUGAAAUGCGUAGAUAUAUGGAGGAACACCGGUGGCGAAAGCGGCUCUCUGGUCUGUAACUGACGCUGAGGCUCGAAAGCGUGGGGAGCAAACAGGAUUAGAUACCCUGGUAGUCCACGCCGUAAACGAUGAGUGCUAGGUGUUAGGCCCUUUCCGGGGCUUAGUGCCGCAGCUAACGCAUUAAGCACUCCGCCUGGGGAGUACGACCGCAAGGUUG
rnacentral:rRNA from 1 species